rnacentral:rRNA from 1 species
AGGACGAACGCUGGCGGCGUGCUUAACACAUGCAAGUCGAGCGGAAAGGCCCUUCGGGGUACUCGAGCGGCGAACGGGUGAGUAACACGUGAGCAACCUGCCCCUGGCUCUGGGAUAGCCUCCGGAAACGGGGAUUAAUACCGGACAUGACCUGCUGCCGCAUGGUGGCGGGUGGAAAGUUUUUCGGCCAGGGUGGGGCUCGCGGCCUAUCAGCUUGGUUGGGGGGUGACGGCCCACCAAGGCGACGAC